rnacentral:rRNA from 1 species
GACGAACGCUGGCGGCGUGCUUAGCACAUGCAAGUCGAACGCUGAAGCUCAGCUUUUGUUGGGUGGAUGAGUGGCGAACGGGUGAGUAACACGUGAGUAACCUGCCUCCUUCUUUGGGAUAACGCCCGGAAACGGGUGCUAAUACUGGAUAUUCACUGGUCUUCGCAUGGGGGUUGGUGGAAAGGGUUUUUCUGGUGGGGGAUGGGCUCGCGGCCUAUCAGCUUGUUGGUGGGGUGAUGGCCUACCAAGGCUUUGACGGGUAGCCGGCCUGAGAGGGUGACCGGUCACAUUGGGACUGAGAUCAGGCCCAGACUCCUACGGGAGGCAGCAGUGGGGAAUAUUGCACAAUGGGCGCAAGCCUGAUGCAGCGACGCCGCGUGAGGGAUGGAGGCCUUCGGGUUGUGAACCUCUUUCGCUCAUGGUCAAGCCGCAACAAUGGUUGUGGUGAGGGUAGUGGGUAAAGAAGCGCCGGCUAACUACGUG